rnacentral:lncRNA from 1 species
CAAAUUAAGGUGGUACCUAACACUACAGGGAGAUAACUCUGUAAAGUCAGCUAAACGUUUUAAUUACGUUGUGUUGUAAAAGGAAUAUUAAGCUUCUCAAUGAUCAAAAUUGGCGUUUAUCAAAUUGCUAUAUAACCAGUGUAAUUUUUCUGACAAAAACGUUGUUCAAAUUUUUUUAAAUUUUUAUAUUUUUGUUUAAGUGUCAAAGUAAAUGCUUUGACAAAAUUUUAUGAAAAUUAAACGAGCCAAAUUAAUUUUAGUGAAAGUGUUGGGUACCAC